ensembl:ncRNA lncRNA:CR44430 long non-coding RNA:CR44430
AGACCUAAGUAAAUAAUUAUGUGGAUAUUUAUCUAUAUCUUCAACUUGACUUAACUUUCUUCGUGAAGUGCACAGUUGACAUUUGAGCUUGAUUUGCUUUGCGGUUGGGCCAUUUAAUUGCAUUUGAGCCAGCACAACAAAUACGAUGGCAAUAUGGACAUGGACAUGGACAUGGACAUGGACAUGGAUAUGGAGAUGGACAUGGGCAGGAACAUGGCAAUCAGCGGCGACGGGGCUUAAAUCAAAUUUAAAGCUGUGCUGUGUCCUGAUAAAUUAUCCAUGCAUGCAUAUUACACGCGGAGGGGCCAGGCUUCUGCCACUGCAACUGCAUAUGGCAUAAUGCAUGCACACUUAAGGCCUCGAGAGUGCCAGCCAAAUGGCAUGACAGAGACGGAUGCGCAGCCAGAUAGCGCGGGCAACGGAGAUGGCACCACCAGAGAACCAGUACCAAAGUCAGAACCAUAGCCAUAACCAUAACCAAAAGCAGCAGCAGCAGGAGCAGGAGCAUGACCCUAACCAAAACUCCAAAAACCCAGCCCAACCCGACACAUCUCAUCUCAACUCAGAAAGCUUAGCAAAAUACUUUCAUAAUAAUCUUUAUGGCACAACGAGGAAAAUAGAAAAAAAGCAGUGGGCAAAACUGUUACCAAAAAAAAAAAAAAAAAUUUGAGCCAAACGGAAAACACACGGCUAAACGAAUUGCACAGGACGAAAAUUAAAUGCAAAAUAUUUACAUUUCUUAAG